rnacentral:rRNA from 1 species
UACGGAGGGUGCAAGCGUUAUCCGGAUUCACUGGGUUUAAAGGGUUCGUAGGCGGGCAGGUAAGUCAGUGGUGAAAUCUCCAAGCUUAACUUGGAAACUGCCGUUGAUACUAUCUGUCUUGAAUAUUGUGGAGGUGAGCGGAAUAUGUCAUGUAGCGGUGAAAUGCUUAGAUAUGACAUAGAACACCAAUUGCGAAGGCAGCUCGCUACGCAUAUAUUGACUCUGAGGCACGAAAGCGUGGGGAUCAAACAGG